GAAAAAGUGAAAGUGACAGUUAGUCUCUCAGUCUUCGCUUCAUGACCCCCAGGACUGCAGCCUGCCAGGCUCUUCUGUCCAUGGGAUUCUCCAGGCAAGAAUACUGGAUGGCUGUGAGACGAUUAAAAAGAAAUGGGGUGCUGCCCUAUCUGUGCUGAUGUAACAGCAAGUAUUUUGAACAAUCUUAGGAGUGCAUCCAGUUGCCAACAUAGUAAGGGCCACUAUUGAAUAAAUGAAGACUAUACCUUAGUGUUCCAUGUGUCCUGGGAGAGAAUGGUAUUACAGACCUCGUAAAGGUAAAGCUGACCCCUGAAGAUGAGGCCCAUUUGAAAAAGUGCAGAAACUCUUUGGGAAAUUCAGAAGGAGCUCAAGCUUUAAAGUUACUUAAAACUACUAUUCUGAGGUUAUUGAAAAAGAGAUGGUAGUUACAAGAUUACAUAUGUCAAACUUCUGAAUAAACCUGAAUUCCUAAAAGUUGGAAAAAUGGGGGAAGGGGGGCAGAGUGAGUCCUCUAUUUAGCCCUUCAGCUCUGUUAGUUACCAUCCCACAUUUGGAUGCAAAUUCCCAAAUGACUGUAUCAAAGAAGGUGGUUUGGUGCCUCUGAUGUACCAGUACUUGCCUUGUAUAUUACUUAUGUAGCAGCCAUUUGGUCCAAAAGGAUGUUAUAAUGUAUGUUUACUGUGUUUAGAAAUUGAUGCUUUUCAUCAAGUUUAUGCUAAUUCUUUUGUUUUGUCUGGCUGAUAUAUCCAUGUUCAUUUAUAUGCUGUAAUAAAGCUGUAACUUCCUCU
ensembl:lncRNA